UACGGAGGGUGCAAGCGUUAAUCGGAUUUAUUGGGCGUAAAGGGGGCGCAGGCGGGGAGAUAAGUCAGAUGUGAAGGCCCGGAGCUCAACUUCGGAACAGCAUUUGAAACUAUUUCUCUUGAGGGUAGGCGGAGAAAACGGAAUUCCACAAGUAGCGGUGAAAUGCGUAGAUAUGUGGAAGAACACCCGUGGCGAAAGCGGUUUUCUAGCUUAUACCUGACGCUGAGGCCCGAAAGCUAGGGGAGCAAACAGG
rnacentral:rRNA from 1 species